rnacentral:rRNA from 1 species
AUUAGACUACCCCCGUAGUCCCAGCCGUAAACUAUGCGCGUUAGGUGUAUCGGUGACCACGAGUCACCGAGGUGCCGAAGGGAACCGUGAAACGUGCCGCCUGGGAAGUACGGUCGCAAGGCUGAAACUUAAAGGAAUUGGCGGGGGAGCACAACAACGGGUGGAGCCUGCGGUUUAAUUGGACUCAACGCCGGACAACUCACCGGGGACGACAGCAAUAUGUAGGCCAGGCUGAAGACCUUGCCUGAAUCGCUG